rnacentral:rRNA from 1 species
UACGUAGGAGGCGAGCGUUGUCCGGAGUUACUGGGCGUAAAGGGUGCGCAGGCGGCGGUUCGCGUGGAUAGGUGAAAUCUCCUGGCUUACCUGGGAGGAUGGUAUCCAGACGGGAUCGCUUGAGGGUCGGAGAGGGGCGUGGAAUUCCGGGUGGAGCGGUGAAAUGCGUAGAGAUCCGGAGGAACACCGACGGCGUAGGCAGCGCCCUGGACGACACCUGACGCUGAGGUGCGAAAGCGUGGGGAGCAAACAGG